rnacentral:tRNA from 1 species
GGGGAUGUAGCUCAGUGGUAGAGCACUUGCCUAGCAUGCACUGAGGCCCUAGUUCCAUCCCCA